AAAAAUGUGAAUAUCAAGAACAGUAAUUCUGCCAGUGAAUCCGCCUGCAAAUCUGCUACUAAAUCCGCUAAUGAUCCGCACAAACAAAAGAAGUCUAAAACAUCUCGAGAAGUUCAAUCUAAAAAAGUUGGAAAUAGAAAGAGGAAAGCCAGUGAAUCCGCCAGUGAAUCCGACAGUGAAUCCUACAGUGAAGCCGCAUGUCAAUCUGUCAGUAAAUCCGCUCAUGAUAAAGUGAUCAAGCACGAAAGUAAGAAAUUUAAAGGUUCUCGAGAAGCUCAUUCUAACAGAGAUUCAAGUAAGAAGCAGAAAAUUGUGAGAAAUCGGUGGACCGAUGAAGAAAUAAAGGCAGUUUUAAAUGAAUUCGAAUGCAAUAUCACAGCUGGAAAACUGCCAUCCUUAGGAGAUAUAUCGAAACUACAAGGACGAACAAAAUGCCUGGAAAAGAAAAAUCCAGCUUCAAUUAAGACUUGGAUUUAUAGUUACAUGAAUAAGAAGAAAAUGUUGUAAGAAAGUUAUUGAGAAAGUUUUUAUUUUUGUUACUAUUAACCAUCAAAUGGUUUUCAUAAUUACUUAUUUUAUUUAAAUCGUUUUGUAUUCUAUAAACAAAAACAAUUUUAUGCUUCUGUUAGGUCUUCCGUGCCUUUUAUA